rnacentral:rRNA from 1 species
GUAACGAGCGCAACCCUUGUCCUUAGUUACCAGCACGUUAUGUGGGCACUCUAAGGAGACUGCCGGUGACAACCGGAGGAAGUGGGGAUGACGUCAAGUCAUCAUGGCCCUUACGGCCUGGGCUACACACGUGCUACAAUGGUCGGUACAAAGGGUUGCCAAGCCGCGAGGUGGAGCUAAUCCCAUAAAACCGAUCGUAGUCCGGAUCGCAGUCUGCAACUCGACUGCGUGAAGUCGGAAUCGCUAGUAAUCGUGAAUCAGAAUGUCACGGUGAAUACGUUCCCGGGCCUU